rnacentral:tRNA from 1 species
AUUUCAUUAGUAAAAUUUAUUAUAUCAUCUUGAUAAGGUGGAGUUCUUUUGAUGAAAUA